UCGUAGGUUCUUACUAACGGUAUUGAAGUGAAGCUACAUAGGAAUGCCCUUAGUGUGAUUGAACCACCUAUAGCCUUGAGGAAGAUGAUGAUUUAGAAUGCAAGAACACACAAUGGAAUGUUUCAGAUAUGGAGAUUUUCUGUGUUGCAGGGAUAUUUGAUGAUCUUAGAGCAUAUUCCAUAAUCGUAGAUGACGAUUGAAUAACAAGGUUACAUGAAGAACAUAGGAUUAUGCUGGUUUUAAUCGUAGCAUCAAGCCCCUGCGGAGAGUUUUCCACCAUUGGAGUUUCUUAUUGUAUUUCUGUGCUGUUAGUUGGCUUCUGCUUUACCCCCUCCAGAUUUUGAAAAGAACAAAAUUUUUGUUUCUUGAGACUACAAAUGGCUUUGUGCCUAGCAAAAUGCUUUUGUGUAGUUUGGCAGUA